rnacentral:rRNA from 1 species
CAGCCGCCACGGUAAUACGUAGGUCCCGAGCGUUGUCCGGAUUUAUUGGGCGUAAAGCGAGCGCAGGCGGUUUGAUAAGUCUGAAGUUAAAGGCUGUGGCUCAACCAUAGUUCGCUUUGGAAACUGUCAAACUUGAGUGCAGAAGGGGAGAGUGGAAUUCCAUGUGUAGCGGUGAAAUGCGUAGAUAUAUGGAGGAACACCGGUGGCGAAAGCGGCUCUCUGGUCUGUAACUGACGCUGAGGCUCGAAAGCGUGGGGAGCGAACAGGAUUAGAUACCCGUGUAGUCCCUGUCUCUUAUACA